rnacentral:tRNA from 1 species
GCCGUUGUAGCUCAGUUGGUAGAGCAGCUCCAUGGUAAGGAGCAGGUCGACAGUUCAAAUCUGUCCAACGGCUCCA